AAAAACAUGGCCUUUUGAUUAUAAUUUAAGGUCUCACCUGCCCAAUGAAAUAAAUUGAAUGGCCGCGGUAUUUUGACCGUGCAAAGGUAGCAUAAUCAUUUGUUUUUUAAUUGAAAGCUAGAAUGAAGGGUUGAAUGAGAAAAUUACUGUCUCUAUUUAAAUUAAUUAUAAUUUUAUUUUUAAGUUAAAAAGCUUAAUUAAUUUUUGAAGACGAGAAGACCCUAUAGAGUUUGAUAAUUUAAUAAUUUAAAUAAUUAGGUAAUUAUAUUAUUUAAUUUUGAUAAUUAUUUGAUUGGGGUGAUUAAAAAAUUAAAUAAACUUUUUUUUUAUUUUUACAUAAAUUAAUGAGUAAUUGAUCCUUUUUAUAAGAUUAAAAGAUUAAAUUACCUUAGGGAUAACAGCGUAAUUUUUUUUUAGAGUUCAAAUCAAAAAAAAAGAUUGCGACCUCGAUGUUGGAUUAAAAUUAAUAUUUGGUGUAGCAGCUAAGUGGUUAGGUCUGUUCGACCUUUAAAAUUUUACUUGAUCUGAGUUCAAACCGGUGUAAGCCAGGUUGGUUUCUAUCUCGAAAAUAUUAGAAUAUUUUAGUACGAAAGGACCAAAUAUUUGAUUAAUAAUUUUUUAUAUGAAUAAUAAUAGUUAUUUUGGCAGAAUAGUGCAAUAGAUUUAGAAUCUUUAUAAGUAAUUUUUUUACAAAUAAUACUUGAUAUUCAAGGAUUUAGUUAUAAUAUUAAUUUCAAUAGUAAUUUUAGCUUUUUGUGUAAUAAUUGGAGUGGCUUUUUUAACCUUAUUAGAGCGAAAGGUUUUAGGAUAUAUUCAAAUUC
rnacentral:rRNA from 1 species